AUCUCUCUUUCAAGGAGG
rnacentral:snRNA from 1 species